UACGGGGGGGGCAAGCGUUGUUCGGAAUUACUGGGCGUAAAGGGCGCGUAGGCGGCCUUCUAAGUCGGACGUGAAAUCCCCCGGCUUAACCUGGGAACUGCGUCUGAUACUGGGAGGCUUGAGUAUGGGAGAGGGAUGUAGAAUUCCAGGUGUAGCGGUGAAAUGCGUAGAUAUCUGGAGGAAUACCGGUGGCGAAGGCGGCAUCCUGGACCAUAACUGACGCUGAGGCGCGAAAGCUAGGGGAGCAAACGGG
rnacentral:rRNA from 1 species